rnacentral:rRNA from 1 species
CCCUUAGAUGUUCUGGGCCGCACGCGCGCUACAAUGAUGAAUUCAACGAGUUUAUAACCUUGGUUGAAAAGCCUGGGUAAUCUUUUGAACUUUCGUCGUGAUGGGGCUAGACCCUUGCAAUUAUUGGUCUCCAACGAGGAAUUCCUAGUAAACGCAAGUCAUCAGCUUGCAUUGAUUACGUCCCUGCCCUUUGUACACACCGCCCGUCGCUCCUACCGAUUGGGUGAGCCGAUGAAACUCUCGGAUGUAGGCUAUUCAUAGCCCGCAGAAGAGAUUUGAAUCGUAGCGCUUAGAGGAAGGAGAAGUCGUAACA